GGUAGUCCAUGCCGUAAACGUUGGGCGCUAGGUGUGAGGGACAUUCCACGUCCUUUGUGCCGCAGCUAACGCAUUAAGCGCCCCGCCUGGGGAGUACGGCCGCAAGGCUAAAACUCAAAGGAAUUGACGGGGGGCCCGCACAAGCGGCGGAGCAUGCGGAUUAAUUCGAUGCAACGCGAAGAACCUUACCUGGAUUUGACAUAUAGGGAAAUCUCCUGGAGACAGGAGGUCCGCAAGGGCUCUAUACAGGUGGUGCAUGGCUGUCGUCAGCUCGUGUCGUGAGAUGUUGGGUUAAG
rnacentral:rRNA from 1 species